GGGGCAAUAGCUCAGUUGGUUAGAGCAGCGGACUCAUAACCCGUAGGUCGCCAGUUCAAGUCUGGCUUGCCCCA
rnacentral:tRNA from 1 species